UGGGGAAUAUUGCACAAUGGGCGAAAGCCUGAUGCAGCGACGCCGCGUGAGGGAUGACGGCCUUCGGGUUGUAAACCUCUUUCAGCAGGGAAGAAGCCACAAGUGACGGUACCUGCAGAAGAAGCGCCGGCUAACUACGUGCCAGCAGCCGCGGUAAUACGUAGGGCGCAAGCGUUGUCCGGACUUAUUGGGCGUAAAGAGCUCGUAGGCGGUUUGUCGCGUCUGCUGUGAAAGCCCGGGGCUUAACCCCGGGUGUGCAGUGGGUACGGGCAGACUAGAGUGCAGUAGGGGAGACUGGAAUUCCUGGUGUAGCGGUGGAAUGCGCAGAUAUCAGGAGGAACACCGAUGGCGAAGGCAGGUCUCUGGGCUGUUACUGACGCUGAGGAGCGAAAGCAUGGGGAGCGAACA
rnacentral:rRNA from 1 species